rnacentral:rRNA from 1 species
AUUGAACGCUGGCGGCAUGCUUUACACAUGCAAGUCGAACGGCAGCGCGGGCUUCGGCCUGGCGGCGAGUGGCGAACGGGUGAGUAAUGCAUCGGAACGUGCCCAGUAGUGGGGGAUAGCCCGGCGAAAGCCGGAUUAAUACCGCAUACGACCUGAGGGUGAAAGCGGGGGACCGAAAGGCCUCGCGCUAUUGGAGCGGCCGAUGUCGGAUUAGCUAGUUGGUGGGGUAAAGGCUUACCAAGGCGACGAUCCGUAACUGGUCUGAGAGGACGACCAGCCACACUGGGACUGAGACACGGCCCAGACUCCUACGGGAGGCAGCAGUGGGGAAUUUUGGACAAUGGGGGCAACCCUGAUCCAGCCAUGCCGCGUGCGGGAAGAGGGCCUUCGGGUUGUAAACCGCUUUUGUUCGGGAAGAAAUCCUCUGGGCUAAUACCCCGGGGGGAUGACGGUACCGGAAGAAUAAGCACCGGCUAACUACGUG